rnacentral:rRNA from 1 species
CCUACGGGAGGCAGCAGUGGGGAAUAUUGCACAAUGGGCGCAAGCCUGAUGCAGCGACGCCGCGUGAGGGAUGACGGCCUUCGGGCUGUAAACCUCUUUCAGCAGGGACGAAGCGAAAGUGACGGUACCUGCAGAAGAAGCACCGGCCAACUACGUGCCAACAGCCGCGGUAAUACGUAGGGUGCAAGCGUUGUCCGGAAUUACUGGGCGUAAAGAGCUCGUAGGCGGUUUGUCGCGUCGUCUGUGAAAACUCGAGGCUCAACCUCGAGCUUGCAGGCGAUACGGGCAGACUUGAGUACUGCAGGGGAGACUGGAAUUCCUGGUGUAGCGGUGAAAUGCGCGGAUAUCAGGAGGAACACCGGUGGCGAAGGCGGCUCACUGGACCGACACUGACGCUGAG